rnacentral:rRNA from 1 species
UACGAAGGGGGCUAGCGUUGUUCGGAAUUACUGGGCGUAAAGAGUGUGUAGGCGGUGCUCUAAGUUCGUUGUGAAAUCUCCCGGCUUAACUGGGAGGGUGCGGCGGAAACUGGAGUGCUUGAGCGCGGGAGAGGAAAGCGGAAUUCCUGGUGUAGCGGUGAAAUGCGUAGAUAUCAGGAGGAACACCUGUGGUGUAGACGGCUUUCUGGACCGUAGCUGACGCUGAGACACGAAAGCGUGGGUAGCAAACAGG